UACGUAGGGUGCGAGCGUUAAUCGGAAUUACUGGGCGUAAAGCGUGCGCAGGCGGUUCGUUGUGUCGGCGGUGAAAGCCCCGGGCUUAACCUGGGAACGGCCGUUGAAACUGGCGAACUGGAGUGUGGCAGAGGGGGGUGGAAUUCCCGGUGUAGCGGUGAAAUGCGUAGAUAUCAGGAGGAACACCUGUGGCGAAAGCGCGUAACUGGGGCAUAACUGACGCUGAGGAACGAAAGCCAGGGUAUCCAAAGGG
rnacentral:rRNA from 1 species